GCAUAUGUUUGAUUCUGGAAGAAUCUUCCGAAUGCCUGAAACUUCAGUCAUCUCAGCAGCAGUGCUUGAGUGAGUCUUGAAAAAUACGGAUGCCUUCUUCUUGUCCAGAUUAGUCAUGCACAUCUCCAGUGUAUAAACUGGAUUCGGGUUAUUGGCAUUGGCAGAUUCAGCUGAAGCAGAAUAGACAUGCCAGUUCUGUUGUUUAUCAGCAUUACCCAUCACAUAUGCACUGCUGCCUGCGCCAAGCUUACCGAAAUAGCUGUCAAGCACGGCUACUUCUUCAGAGAAGUGACGAUGUGGAUAUGGCUGAGCCCCAGGGAAGAUAAAACUACCACGAGUGUACCUCACUGACUUCACUUUCAGGUUAAGUGCAUCGGCUAACUUAAGAAUGGGAGGGAUCGACAGCAGCAGUUUUGUAGUGCCACAAGUUUUGAUGAUGAUCUUGUAUGAGUAGACAAAGAGGCUAGACUCUGAAAGGACAUAAGAGUCGACUUCAUCAUUUGCCAAUGA
rnacentral:lncRNA from 1 species